CCCUUAGAUGUUCUGGGCCGCACGCGCGCUACACUGACUGGUGCAACAAGUGUCGCUCCUUGGCCGAUAGGCCUGGGCAAUCUUUGAACGCCAGUCGUGAUGGGGAUAGAUUCUUGCAAUUUUUAAUCUUCAACGAGGAAUGCCUAGUAAGCGCAAGUCAUCAGCUUGCGUUGAUUACGUCCCUGCCCUUUGUACACACCGCCCGUCGCUCCUACCGAUUGAAUGGUCCGGUGAAGCGUUCGGACCGUGGCCUUUGGACGGUUCGCCGUCUGUUGGCUGCGGGAAGUUCGUUAAACCUUAUCAUUUAGAGGAAGGAGAAGUCGUAACA
rnacentral:rRNA from 1 species